rnacentral:rRNA from 1 species
UGGGGAAUUUUGGACAAUGGGCGAAAGCCUGAUCCAGCAAUGCCGCGUGUGUGAAGAAGGCCUUCGGGUUGUAAAGCACUUUUGUCCGGAAAGAAAUCCUUGGCUCUAAUACAGUCGGGGGAUGACGGUACCGGAAGAAUAAGCACCGGCUAACUACGUGCCAGCAGCCGCGGUAAUACGUAGGGUGCAAGCGUUAAUCGGAAUUACUGGGCGUAAAGCGUGCGCAGGCGGUUUGCUAAGACCGAUGUGAAAUCCCCGGGCUCAACCUGGGAACUGCAUUGGUGACUGGCAGGCUAGAGUAUGGCAGAGGGGGGUAGAAUUCCACGUAUAGCAGUGAAAUGCGUAGAGAUGUGGAGGAAUACCGAUGGCGAAGGCAGCCCCCUGGGCCAAUACUGACGCUCAUGCACGGAAGCGUGGGGAGCAAACAGGAUUAGAUACCCUGGUAGUCCACGCCCUAAACGAUGUCAACUAGUUGUUGGGGAUUCAUUUCCUUAGUAACGUAGCUAACGCGUGAAGUUGACCGCCUGGGGAGUACGGUCGCAAGAUUAAAACUCAAAUGAAUUGACGGGGUCAUAGCUGUUUCCU